UACGUAGGUGGCAAGCGUUGUCCGGAUUUACUGGGCGUAAAGAGCGCGCAGGCGGUCGUUCAAGUCGCGUGUGAAAGCCCCCGGCUCAACUGGGGAGGGUCACGCGAUACUGAUCGACUCGAAGGCAGGAGAGGGAAGUGGAAUUCCCGGUGUAGUGGUGAAAUGCGUAGAUAUUCGGAAGAACACCAGUGGCGAAGGCGACUCGCUGGACAGGUAUUGACGCUGAGGUGCGAAAGCGUGGGGAGCAAACAGG
rnacentral:rRNA from 1 species